UCCGCCCUCAAAUAGGAUAUGUCGGGUUCAUCUGCCCUCAAACAGGAUAUGUCGGGUUCAUCCGCCCUCAAACAGGAUAUUUUGGGUCCAUCCGCCCUCAAAUAGGAUAUGUUGGGUUCAUCCGCCCUCAAAUAGGAUGUUACUUUCAAAAUUAUUAAUGAAGACAGGCGCCCACCUGAAUAACGAGAGGAAUACAUUUUUGUCUUUUCAUUUCUGUUCUAGGUCACCCACCAGUAUAAUGCGGGAAUACAUUUCUGUCUUUUCAUUUCUGUUCUAGGUCACCCACCAGUAUAACGCGGGAAUACAUUUCUGUCUUUUCAUUUCUGUUCUAGGUCACCCACCAGUAUAAUGCGGGCAUAUCAUUUUUCAUAUCUUUACCACCAGGCGCCCACCUGUAUAACAGAGGCAUACAUUUCAGUCUUUACUUUUCAAGCGUUGAAGUUGGGAGCCCGCCCAGAUAACAGAGGCAUACAUUCAGUCUUUUUAUUUCACGUGUUGAAAUUGGGAGCCCGCCCAUAAUAACAGAGGAAUACAUUCAGUCUUUACUUUCAAGUGUUGAAGUUGGGAGCCCGCCCAUAAUAACAGAGGGAUACAUUUCAGUCUUUAAUUUUCAAGUAUUGAAGUUGGGAGCCCGCCCAGAUAACAGAGGCAUACAUUCCACGUCUUUACCCAUAGGAGAUGUAUUUCCUCCUUAAAGUUUAGUUUUGC
rnacentral:lncRNA from 1 species